UACGGAGGGUGCAAGCGUUGUUCGGAAUUACUGGGCGUAAAGAGCGUGGAGGCGGUCGAUUAAGUCAGGUGUGAAAGCCCUUGGCUCAACAAAGGAAGUGCAUCUGAAACUGAUCGACUUGAGUACGGGAGAGGAGAGUGGAAUUCCUGGUGUAGAGGUGAAAUUCGUAGAUAUCAGGAGGAACACCGGUGGCGAAGGCGACUCUCUGGACCGAUACUGACGCUGAGACGCGAAAGCGUGGGGAGCACACAGG
rnacentral:rRNA from 1 species